rnacentral:rRNA from 1 species
GACGAACGCUGGCGGCGUGCUUAAUACAUGCAAGUCGAACGGAAAGGCGCGGCUUUUGUGGGGUGCUCGAGUGGCGAACGGGGGAGUAACACGUGAGUAACCUGCCCUUGACUGUGGGAUAACUCCAGGAAACAGGGGCUAAUACCGGAUAGGAGAUCCUGCUGCAUGGGGGGGGAUGGAAAGAUUCGGCGGUUGGGGAUGGACUAGCGGCUUAUCAGCCUGUUGGUGGGGUAGUGGCUUACCAAGGCUUCGACGGGUAGGCGACCUGGGAGGGUGACCGGGCACCAUGGUCCUACGGUAGGGCGCAGAAUGCUAUGUGCGGCAACGGUGGAAAGUCUUGCGCAGUGGGCGGAAGUCUGAUACAGCAGCGCCGCGAGCGUAAUGACCGCCUUCGGGUUAUAAACCACUUUGGCCUUUGACGAAGCGUGCGUGACGGUACUGGGUAAGAAAGCCCCGGCUAACUACGUG